rnacentral:rRNA from 1 species
UAGAGUUUGAUCCUGGCUCAGGAUGAACGCUAGCGGCAGGCCUAACACAUGCAAGUCGAGGGGUAGAAGUAGCUUGCUACUUUGAGACCGGCGCACGGGUGCGUAACGCGUAUGCAAUCUACCUUAUACAAGGGGAUAGCCCGAAGAAAUUUGGAUUAAUACCCUAUAGUAUUAUCGACCGGCAUCGGUUGAUAAUUAAAAUUCCGAUGGUAUAAGAUGAGCAUGCGUCCUAUUAGCUGGUUGGUGUGUAACGGCACACCAAGGCGACGAUAGGUAGGGGUCCUGAGAGGGAGAUCCCCCACACUGGUACUGAGACACGGACCAGACUCCUACGGGAGGCAGCAGUGAGGAAUAUUGGACAAUGGGCGCAAGCCUGAUCCAGCCAUGCCGCGUGCAGGAAGACUGCCCUAUGGGUUGUAAACUGCUUUUAAACGGGAAGAAACCCUCCGACGUGUCGGAGUUUGACGGUACCGUAAGAAUAAGCAUCGGCUAACUCCGUGCCAGCAGCCGCGGUAAUACGGAGGAUGCGAGCGUUAUCCGGAAUCAUUGGGUUUAAAGGGUCCGUAGGCGGGUUAGUAAGUCAGUGGUGAAAUCCGGCAGCUUAACUGUCGAAUUGCCGUUGAUACUGCUAGUCUUGAAUUACUGUGAAGUGGUUAGAAUAUGUAGUGUAGCGGUGAAAUGCUUAGAUAUUACAUGGAAUACCGAUUGCGAAGGCAGAUCACUAACAGUAUAUUGACGCUGAUGGACGAAAGCGUGGGGAGCAAACAGAUUAGAUACCCUGGUAGUCCACGCCGUAAACGAUGGAUACUAGCUGUUUGGUCGUAAGACUGAGUGGCUAGCGAAAGUGAUAAGUAUCCC